AAUAGAUACCCGGGUAGUCCACGCCGUAAACGAUGAGUGCUAAGUGUUAGAGGGUUUCCGCCCUUUAGUGCUGCAGCAAACGCAUUAAGCACUCCGCCUGGGGAGUACGGCCGCAAGGCUAGAAACUCAAAGGAAUUGACGGGGACCCGCACAAGCGGUGGAGCAUGUGGUUUAAUUCGAAGCAACGCGAAGAACCUUACCAGGUCUUGACAUCCUCUGACCAUCCUAGAGAUAGGACCUUCCCUUCGGGGGACAGAGUGACAGGUGGUGCAUGGUUGUCGUCAGCUCGUGUCGUGAGAUGUUGGGUUAAGUCCCGCAACGAGCGCAACCCUUGUCCUUAGUUGCCAGCAUUCAGUUGGGCACUCUAAGGAGACUGCCGGUGACAAACCGGAGGAAGGUGGGGAUGACGUCAAAUCAUCAUGCCCCUUAUGACCUGGGCUACACACGUGCUACAAUGGAUGGUACAAAGGGCUGCGAAGCCGCGAGGUGGAGCCAAUCCCAUAAAACCAUUCUCAGUUCGGAUUGCAGG
rnacentral:rRNA from 1 species